UGGGGAAUAUUGCACAAUGGGCGAAAGCCUGAUGCAGCAACGCCGCGUGAGUGAUGAAGGCCUUCGGGUUGUAAAGCUCUGUCUUUUGGGACGAUAAUGACGGUACCAAAGGAGGAAGCCACGGCUAACUACGUGCCAGCAGCCGCGGUAAUACGUAGGUGGCAAGCGUUGUCCGGAUUUACUGGGCGUAAAGGAUGCGUAGGCGGAUUUUUAAGUGAGAUGUGAAAACCCUAAGCUUAACUUGGGGACUGCAUUUCAUACUGGAAAUCUAGAGUGCGGGAGAGGAGAAUGGAAUUCCUAGUGUAGCGGUGAAAUGCGUAGAGAUUAGGAAGAACACCAGUGGCGAAGGCGAUUCUCUGGACCGUAACUGACGCUGAGGCAUGAAAGCGUGGGUAGCAAACAGGAUUAGAUACCCUGGUCAGUCCACGCCGUAAACGAUGAGUACUAGGUGUAGGAGGUAUCGACCCCUUCUGUGCCGCAGUUAACACAAUAAGUACUCCGCCUGGGAAGUACGAUCGCAAGAUUAAAACUUAAAGGAAUUGACGGGGGUCAUAGCUG
rnacentral:rRNA from 1 species